rnacentral:rRNA from 1 species
UAGCAAGAUAAAAUUUAGAUUUAAUGUUCUCGAAACCUAAAGAGCUACCUUGAUGUGAGAGUAGUCUUAAAAUGUGAAUGUAGCAAAAUUCUUUUUAAAUUUCAAGGUAGGAAUGAUAUUUUAUUCGUGUUAGGUGAUAGCUAGUUUUGGCAAAAAUAUAUCUAAGUAUAUAAACUAAAGAAAGUUUCAGUAAUGAAUGUUGCUUUAAGUACUUUAGUUUUUCAUUUAUAUGAGGAUAAGCUCGUAUAAUUAUUGUGUAGUAUUUAAUAGCUAUUUAAAAAGGAUUUAGGCUUGAAGUUGGUCAUGAUUGAAAGUUUGUUUUAAAAUAUUUUUAUUUGUUAUUGAGUUAUGCUUGGUUUAUGCUGAUUAAUUUUUGUACUAUAAAAAAUGAUUGGGUUUAUGCUAAAAUGAGUAUUAUUUUGAAAUAAAUUUAUGCUAUUUUAAAAAUUUGCUUAAUAGAAAAGUGAUAAAAAUUAGAAAUGUAUUUAAGGAAUUCGGCAAAAAUGUAUUUCGCCUGUUUAGCAAAAACAUGGCUCUUUG